AGGUCCUUUCAUUUUUUUUCUCCCUAUCCCAUUCCCUCUCUCGCACAAUCAAACAAACACAAGCCUCUAUACGAAGCCUUUUAAUCUCGCUCUCAUUUUCUGACUUUCUCAGCUCAAUGUUGUUCCGAGUGUUUGUUGUUUUUCUCCAACCGAGUCGAACAUGUCUAGUUUCGUCGGUGUCCUUGUUUCUGAUCCAUGGCUUCAGAGCCAGUUCACUCAAGUCGAACUUCAAACCCUCAAAUCCAAGAAAGGACUCAAUCAGGACGUGUUACUGUCGGAAAUUUUCGACCUAUUUUUAAGAAAUUGAAGGGUUUCUCUGAACUGUUCACUGAGGAUGAGAUUAAGGAUGCCUUGGCAGAGUCACAUCAGAACAUGGAUGAAGAGAUUGAUUUUGAGUCCUUCCUUAGGGUGAGUUUUUGUUUUUUAUUUUUAUUUUACCCACUGAGAAGUUGAGGCAUGAUUUCAGCCGAACUAAAUCUUGUAUGACAUUUUUUCUCUUAUUCACCAAUUUGCUUCCCAAUUUUACUAUCAUAAUUUGUCAAAACAAUAGUGUUUCACAUUGUUUGGUUAGGACAAUGUCUAAGGACAACAAAUAUACUCUCUCAUCAGAAAAAUAAAAGCUACAAAAAAUCAAUUCAA